CGAAAUCGGUAGACGCUACGGACUUAAAAAAUCCGUCGACUUUAAAAAUCGUGAGGGGUUCAAGUCCCCUCUAUCCCC
rnacentral:tRNA from 1 species